rnacentral:rRNA from 1 species
GAUGAACGCUGGCGGCGUGCCUAAUACAUGCAAGUCGAGCGAACAGACGAGGAGCUUGCUCCUCUGACGUUAGCGGCGGACGGGUGAGUAACACGUGGAUAACCUACCUAUAAGACUGGGAUAACUUCGGGAAACCGGAGCUAAUACCGGAUAAUAUAUUGAACCGCAUGGUUCAAUAGUGAAAGACGGUUUUGCUGUCACUUAUAGAUGGAUCCGCACCGCAUUAGCUAGUUGGUAAGGUAACGGCUUACCAAGGCGACGAUGCGUAGCCGACCUGAGAGGGUGAUCGGCCACACUGGAACUGAGACACGGUCCAGACUCCUACGGGAGGCAGCAGUAGGGAAUCUUCCGCAAUGGGCGAAAGCUUGACGGAGCAACGCCGCGUGAGUGAUGAAGGUCUUCGGAUCGUAAAACUCUGUUAUUAGGGAAGAACAAAUGUGUAAGUAACUAUGCACGUCUUGACGGUACCUAAUCAGAAAGCCACGGCUAACUACGUG